rnacentral:sRNA from 1 species
GCUUUCAACAUCUCCGUCCCGCUUAGCGGGACUGAAGGC